rnacentral:rRNA from 1 species
GACGAACGCUGGCGGCGUGCCUAAUACAUGCAAGUAGGACGCAGUUGCGAACGGGAGAGUAACGCGUAGGUAACUACCUAUUAGAGGGGACUAACUAUUGGAACCGAUAGCUAAUACCGCAUACUAGUAGAUGGACCUGCGUUGUAUUAGCUAGUAGGUAGGGUAAUGGCCUACCUAGGCAACGAUACAUAGCCGACCUGGGAUGGUGAUCGGCCACACUUGGACUGAGACACGGGCCAGACUUCUAAGGGAUGCAGCAGGAGGGGAUCUUCGGCAAUGGGGGGAAACCUGACCGAGCCACGCCGCGGGGGUGAAGAAGGUGUUCGGAUCGUAAAGCUCUGUUGUUAAGGAAGCGGUACUUAACCAGAAAGGAACGGCUAACUACGUGCCAGCAGCCGCGGUAAUAC